AAUCCUUGGUGAGGGCACCUUCUCAAAUGGUCCUUGUAUCUCUCCCAUUCAUCGUAGAGUGUUUCUAUAACCAUCUGCAGAAAAGAAGAGAUACCAUUAAGUAAUU